rnacentral:lncRNA from 11 species
AUGUAUGCCUUCCACUCUUGUUUCUUCUACUUCUUACCUAGACUCAGACUUUCUCCGAUAGGUUCUGAAGAGGAAGACAGCCAAGAUGAUAGCAAUCAGGAAGAGGACAGCCAUCCCAAUACCAAGACCCACCUCACUCUUCUGGAAACGCGUCUGGCAGUUAUUGUCUACAUACCAAAAGAAUCCAGUGUAAUUGACACUGCAGAAUCCAAAUGAUAACUAUUGAACAGCAAAAAGAUAAGGAAGGAAAACUUGGAGGAGACAAGAGGAAAAUAAGGUGAGUCAUUGACCAUCAACAGCAAAUUGCAAUGAUUGCUACCCCGCUACCCCGAAAAUAAGACAUCCCCUGAAAAUAAGACCUAGUAGAGGUUUUGCUGAAUUGUUAAAUAUAAGGCUUCCCCUGAAAGUAAGACCUAGCAAAGUUUUUGUUUGGAAGCAUGCCCGCCAAACACAACACCAGAGCAGGCAGG